rnacentral:lncRNA from 1 species
UCAAAAUCAACUAUCAUCGUUACCACUGGCAAUCACUGUAAACUGCAUCUCCGACGUCAGUGUAAACCAUCGGCUACAUCACUCCCUCUACUCUAAUAAUCUCAGCCAUCAAUUUCCUCUCUUCCACCGCCAAAUCCCUUAUGGGCUUCCCACAGAAAAUUUACUUUUUUUUAUAGGAAUAAAUAUUAGUCAUUGUAUUUUGGAGGAAUUUGUGUUGUUUUGACUUAUUUAUAAUGUUUUUGCUCAUUACCAGG